UACGGAGGGGGCUAGCGUUGUUCGGAAUUACUGGGCGUAAAGCGCGCGCAGGCGGCUAUCCAAGUCAGUGGUGAAAGCCCGGAGCUCAACUCCGGAACUGCCAUUGAAACUGUUUAGCUUGAGGAUGAGAGAGGUGAGUGGAAUUCCCAGUGUAGAGGUGAAAUUCGUAGAUAUUGGGAAGAACACCGGUGGCGAAGGCGGCUCGCUGGCUCAUUACUGACGCUCAGGCGCGAUAGCGUGGGGAUCAAACAGG
rnacentral:rRNA from 1 species